UGACGUUGGGAAAGCGAGCGGCGGAUGGGUGAGUAACACGUGGGGAACCUGCCCCUAAGUCUGGGAUACCAUUUGGAAACAGGUGCUAAUACCGGAUAAUAAAGCAGAUCGCAUGAUCAGCUUUUGAAAGGCGGCGUAAGCUGUCGCUAAGGGAUGGCCCCGCGGUGCAUUAGCUAGUUGGUAAGGUAACGGCUUACCAAGGCGACGAUGCAUAGCCGAGUUGAGAGACUGAUCGGCCACAUUGGGACUGAGACACGGCCCAAACUCCUACGGGAGGCAGCAGUAGGGAAUCUUCCACAAUGGACGCAAGUCUGAUGGAGCAACGCCGCGUGAGUGAAGAAGGUUUUCGGAUCGUAAAGCUCUGUUGUUGGUGAAGAAGGAUAGAGGUAGUAACUGGCCUUUAUUUGACGGUAAUCAACCAGAAAGUCACGGCUAACUACGUGCCAGCAGCCGCGGUAAUACGUAGGUGGCAAGCGUUGUCCGGAUUUAUUGGGCGUAAAGCGAGCGCAGGCGGAAAAAUAAGUCUAAUGUGAAAGCCCUCGGCUUAACCGAGGAACUGCAUCGGAAACUGUUUUUCUUGAGUGCAGAAGAGGAGAGUGGAACUCCAUGUGUAGCGGUGGAAUGCGUAGAUAUAUGGAAGAACACCAGUGGCGAAGGCGGCUCUCUGGUCUGCAACUGACGCUGAGGCUCGAAAGCAUGGGUAGCGAACAGGAUUAGAUACCCUGGUAGUCCAUGCCGUAAACGAUGAGUGCUAAGUGUUGGGAGGUUUCCGCCUCUCAGUGCUGCAGCUAACGCAUUAAGCACUCCGCCUGGGGAGUACGACCGCAAGGUUGAAACUCAAAGGAAUUGACGGGGG
rnacentral:rRNA from 1 species